AUACGGAGGAUGCAAGCGUUAUCCGGAUUUAUUGGGUUUAAAGGGUGCGUAGGCGGUUUGCUAAGCGGGAGGUGAAAUGCCGGCGCUCAACGUCGGAAGUGCCUCCCGAACUGGUGGACUUGAAUGACUCUGCCGUGGGAGGAAUGUGUAGUGUAGCGGUGAAAUGCUUAGAGAUUACACAGAACACCGAUUGCGAAGGCAUCUCACGAAGGGUUGAUUGACGCUGAGGCACGAAAGCGUUGUGAUCAAACAGGAUUAGAUACCCUGGUAGUCCACGCUGUAAACGAUGAUUACUGGUUGUUAGCGAUAUAUAGCUAGUGACUGAGCGAAAGCAUUAAGUAAUCCACCUGGGGAGUACGUCGGCAACGAUGAAACUCAAAUGAAUUGACGGGG
rnacentral:rRNA from 1 species